rnacentral:lncRNA from 1 species
UGUGUGUGUGUGUGUGUGAUGACUGUUUGCAGAUGCUUUAUCAGUCAGUGGCAGAGAGAUGCUAUGUAGUGGUGGGAGAGACACAACAAAGAGCCAAUUUACAGAAACAAAGGCUGCCACGACCUGCAGGCCAUGCUGGUUACAAAUCAGAACAAAACCCUCCGAUAACCAAGCACAAACCCUAAGGAGAUGUUUAACAAACCUUCAGAAAGGCUCCCAGAAACGACCAGAUGACCUUACAACAGUCAGCCCAGGGACAGGGCAGCUGGAGGCCUGAGCCUCAGAGAGAGAACACCCCUAACCACAAAGAGAAGAGAACACCCCCAACCAGCCACCCUAGCAGCAGCACCCUUCGCCCUCCAGGCCCCAGUCAUGGUCCCCUCGCCCGGCGAUGUAUAAGCAGCGUGUGGAGGGGGGCUAGCACUAGCAGCUGGUAGCCUGCCUGCUCUAUCACAGCUCCCCCAUCCCUUACCCCAAACUGGCUAAUCACAGCCAAUGAUUGCUCAGCACCAGCCGUGGCCACUACACCUGCCCCCUUCCUCUGGUGGGACUGUCCCAUCUGGGACACAUAAAGAGGGAGGGGGGGAGUAAAGAGGGUGUCUGCUUACUAGCCAAACAGCUGAAAACGCAACGAGGAUAGAGAAGAGCAACCUCCAUGGCCUAAUCAGAUAAAUAAGAACAAUCACUGGAGAGAAAUGAUUUCAUUGCUUUGGAAACAUCAUACAGAUGUAGGAUCUUAAUUUGAUCACCCUAUUGCACCCUAAUGUAAAACUAGAAUUGCACUUGAGGUUUAAAAAGGUUUGUAAUUUCCACUUUCAAAUUUAAGACUUGAUUCUCCCAUCAAAAUAUGUCCAUUAAUUAUAAUCCACAUAAUAAUUCACAUUUCCUGUUGCUGCAGGAUUAUUUUCCUGCUGUAGCAAAUGACUCAAAUUAAGAUCCUACAUCAAUACGUCAGCCAGUUGUGGUCAGAGACCAAUGUGUUGUAGAGGCAGCCAUGCUUGUGUUGGUCUCAAGAUUCCCCCAGAUUCUGAUAGGUCGCCUGUGGCUGCAUUUACAAAGUCUAAUUCAGAUAUUUUG